rnacentral:rRNA from 1 species
CCUUUGGGGUUGGUGUACAGGUGGUGCAUGGUUGUCGUCAGCUCGUGUCGUGAGAUGUUGGGUUAAGUCCCGCAACGAGCGCAACCCUCGUUCUAUGUUGCCAGCACGUGAUGGUGGGAACUCAUAGGAGACUGCCGGGGUCAACUCGGAGGAAGGUGGGGAUGACGUCAAAUCAUCAUGCCCUUUAUGUCUUGGGCUUCACGCAUGCUACAAUGGCUGGUACAAAGAGAAGCGAACCCGUGAGGGUCAGCGAAUCCCUUAAAGCCAGUCUCAGUUCGGAUCGUAGUCUGCAAUUCGACUACGUGAAGUCGGAGUCGCUAGUAAUCGCAGAUCAGCAACGCUGCGGUGAAUACGUUCCCGGGCCUUGUACACACCGCCCGUCAAGUCACGAAAGUCGGUAACACCCGAAGCCGGUGGCCUAACCAGUUUUCUGGAGGGGGCCGUCUAAGGUGGGACUGGUGAUUGGGACUAAGUCGUAACAAGGUAGCCGUAA